AGACCUAAAACCUGAAACAUAAAUAUUACUAAUGUUAGUUCAGUUAAAUACAUAAAUAAAACAUCGAAUAAAGACAACUCAAAAAUAAUAAAGUGAGAAAAAUUAAGAAAAUCAUGGGUUGCCUCCCACGCAGCGCUUGUUUAACGUAUUUAGCUGGACGAUUAGAGAUUUAUAUCUGUGAAGCAGGGACAGGUGGAUCGAUCAGAGUGUGGCAAGAGUAAUUUUU
rnacentral:lncRNA from 1 species